rnacentral:rRNA from 1 species
CCGGCUAAGGCCCCUAAUUGAAUACUAAGUGUAGAAGGAGGUGGAUUUUCACAGACAGUGGGGAUGUUGGCUUAGAGGCAGCCACCAUUUAAACAGUGCGUAAUAGCUGACCCAUCGAGAGAAUCUGCGCCGAAGAUGAACGGGACUCAAGUAUUCAGCCGAAGCCGUGGACUUCGACCCGCCUUGCGGGACGGAGUGGUAGGAGAGCGUUCUAACAGGAGUGAAGUCGUUCGGAAACGAACGGUGGACCGGUUAGAAGUGAGAAUGCAGGCAUAAGUAACGAUAAACAUGGUUAAAAUCCAUGUCGCCGAAAACCCAAGGUUUCCUAGGGAAGGUUCGUCCGCCUAGGGUUAGUCGGGAGCUAAGGCGAGGCCGUAAGGAGUAGUCGAUGCACAACUGGUUAAUAUUCCAGUACCACCCCAUAGAUGUUUGAUACUCGGAGUGACGGAGAAGGUUAAAGCAGCUAACUGUCGAAUGUGUUAGUCCAAGUGCGUAGGCCGUCUGGUAGACAAAUCCGCCAGGCAAUAGGCUGAAACACGAUGGGACCCUGAAACUACGGUGGAUGGGGAUUGUUUGAUACCAUGCUUCCAGGAAAAGCUUCGUUUUUAGUCUAUGAGGUGCCCGUACCGUAAACCGACACAGGUGGGUGAGAUGAGUAUUCUAAGGCGCGUGAGUUAACCCUCUCCAAGGAACUCGGCAAAUUAGCCCCGUAACUUCGGGAUAAGGGGUGCCUGGCGUAAGUCAGGCCGCAGUGACAAGUUCCAAUCGACUGUUUAGCAAAAACAUAGCUCUCUGCUAAGUGGCAACACGAUGUAUAGGGAGUGACAAGUGACCAAUGCGAAAAGGUGAACACUGGAGGUGCAAGCUUCUGGUCUAAGCCCUCGUGAAUGUCGGCCGUAACUAUAACGGUCCUAAGGUAGCGAAAUUCCUUGUCGGGUAAGUUCCGACCUGCACGAAUCUUGCAACGAAUUGGAAACUGUCUCGGAGAGGCGCUCAGUGAAAUUGUAGUCGACGUGCAGAUGCGUCGUACCCGCAGCAGGACGGAAAGACCCUAUGCACCUUUACUGUAAGCUGCUAUUGGUAUUCGGUUUUUAAUGCGUAGAAUAGGUGGGAGACUAUGAAGUCAUACUUCAGGGUAUGGCAGAGUCACAACGUGAAAUACCACUCUUUACUAAUUGGAUAUCUAACCAUAGGCCCUUAACGGGUUGUGGAACAGUGGUAGCAGGUCAGUUUUACUGGGGCGGUAUCCUCCUAAAGAGUAACGGAGGGUUGCGAAGGUUCGCUCAAACCGGUUGGCAAUCGGUUGUCGAGGAUAUGGCUAAAAGCGAGCUUUACUGUGAGACCUACAAGUCGAGCAGUUGCGAAAGCAGGCC